CUUCCCUUCCCUGUGCCCAAUAAAAAACUCACAACCCUCCCCAAUGCAAAAAGGUUGGGUUGUCAUAUACUGGCCUUACAAAAUACAGUACCCUAACUCAUUUAAAAAAGAAAGCUCACCUGUGUUAGAUUGCGUUUGAAGGGCGUCUCUAUAGCUCAUGGUUAAUGGUCUAUGUUGGUUCUCUUUCCCCAUCAUCUGUCUUUGCUGCUGGAUACUUCAACAAUGAAUAUCUGUUGUAGUACAACACCGUAGUUAUGUUCAAUGAUGUUCAAACCUCAGGCAUUUACGGCUACUGUAGUACAAUAAUGAGGUUAUGUUCAAUGAAGUUCAAAACUCAGGUGUUUACUGAGCUACCUGUCGUCACUAGGCAGACAACUUUACAGGCAUAGGCUCUCGAGCACUGGCUCAUUCUUCGUUUGCUAUUUAUUAAAGUUAUAACUAAAUAUUUAAAAGCUGCAACAUAUAAAACAAGAUACAACAGAGCACAAUGUUUGGAAAAUCACAACAACAUAAACAUCAGGCACAGUUUUAUGUCAAGAUUGCAAGGACCUAUUCUAUCCAGAUACAAUGCGUCGGUGGGCCCAGUGGUGUGUGCUGAAUCUGGUGAGACUGAUGCUGUGGCUGUUAGCCCUGGCUAUACUGACUGUCCUGGUAGCCCCUGACCUGCUGUGGAGCCUGACUGGGGGAGAGCCAUAGGAGGUGUUGACGAAAAGCCCCUUUUGUUCUACAGUAUGUCCCAAAUGACCUCUUCUGUCUAUAAAAUCCAGAUGAAGGCUACAUGCUGAAACAAAUUGGUUUUUCAAAACAAAUAUUUAUUU
rnacentral:lncRNA from 1 species